UUUACACUUCCUCUCCUCUGGAAUCUCCUCCAACCACAUCUUAUUAUCCAGGACAUAGACAGGCCUACGGAAGACAGCAUUUAGUUAUACGGGCCUGAGGUGGGCAACAUUUAGUUAUACGGGCCUGGGGUGGACAACAUUUAGUUAUACGGGCCUGGGGUGGACAACAUUUAGUUAUACGGGCCUGGGGUGGGCAACAUUUAGUUAUACGGGCCUGGGGUGGGCAACAUUUAGUUAUACGGGCCUGGGGUGGACAACAUUUAGUUAUACGGGCCUGGGGUGGACAACAUUUAGUUAUACGGGCCUGGGGUGGGCAACAUUUAGUUAUACGGGCCUGGGGUGGACAACAUUUAGUUAUAGGGGCCUGGGGUGGACAACAUUUGGUUAUAGGGGCCUGGGGUGGACAACAUGGUGGACAACAUUUAGUUAUAGGGGCCUGAGGUGGGCAACAUUUAGUUAUAGGGGCCUGAGGUGGGCAACAUUUAGUUAUAGGGGCCUGAGGUGGGCAACAUUUAGUUAUAGGGGCCUGAGGUGGGCAACAUUUAGUUAUAGGGGCCUGAGGUGGGCAACAUUUAGUUAUAGGGGCCUGAGGUGGGCAACAUUUAGUUAUAGGGGCCUGAGGUGGGCAACAUUUAGUUAUAGGGGCCUGAGGUGAGCAACAUUUAGUUAUAGGGGCCUGAGGUGGGCAACAUUUAGUUAUAGGGGCCUGGGGUGGACAACAUUUAGUUAUAGGGGCCUGGGGUGGACAACAUUUAGUUAUAGGGGCCUGAGGUGGGCAACAUUUAGUUAUAGGGGCCUGAGGUGGGCAACAUUUAGUUAUAGGGGCCUGAGGUGGGCAACAUUUAGUUAUAGGGGCCUGAGGUGGGCAACAUUUAGUUAUAGGGGCCUGAGGUGGGCAACAUUUAGUUAUAGGGGCCUGAGGUGACAACAUUUAGUUAUAGGGGCCUGAGGUGGGCAACAUUUGGUUAUACGGGCCUGAGGUGGGCAACAUUUAGUUAUAGGGGCCUGAGGUGGGCAACAUUUAGUUAUAGGGGCCUGAGGUGGGCAACAUUUGGUUAUACGGCCUGGGGUGGACAACAUUUAGUUAUACGGGCCUGGGGUGGACAACAUUUGGUUAUAGGGGCCUGGGGUGGACAACAUUUAGUUAUAGGGGCCUGGGGUGGGCAACAUUUAGUUAUAGGGGCCUGAGGUGACAACAUUUAGUUAUAGGGGCCUGAGGUGGGCAACAUUUGGUUAUAGGGGCCUGAGGUGGGCAACAUUUGGUUAUAGGGGCCUGAGGUGGACAACAUUUGAGUCUCUCACUCAAACUGCACUGGAAUAGUCUCCUAUUCUACACUGUACAUAUACUUUACAUUUCCCAAAAGAGAAAUCACAAUCUAUGGCCCAAAUAGUUAAAUUUUUACAGAAUCUCAAUUCAAAGACAUCCUCUCUGCUGUC